ensembl:lncRNA
CCUCAGCUCUGGGAGAGCAGAUGUCUCAGGGGGGCUCACCCUCUGCUGGGGAGGCUGACCCCCCGUGGGGAGCUCUGGUCUGAGGAGUCGGAGACUGAGCCAAUCCUCGUGGGAGACAAGACAGGAGGGGUCAUAGGGUCCAGGAGGAUGGACAUUACCCACUCCCAGACCCGUGAGCUCAGGCUCCCAAGAGUCUUCCUUACUCGUGGCUUCUGACCAGGGCUGGUAUAAGGAAACGAGGGGAAGAAUUCCAGGGAACGUGCUCAAUCCUUUCAUCACUUUUUGGCCUUUUGGCGGCGGUCCUGCCUCCCCUCCCCUCUCCCACCCUGUGGCCGCCGUUUGCCCUUCCCCAUGACCCAUUCCGUGUGCCGGGCACUCCGGGCUUCCCGCCCACUGGGAGCUUCCGUCCUCCUGGGGAGAAUACAGAGCAGAACUUUAACUUGUGUGAAACAUUCACACAGACGUUUCCCGGGGGGGUCUGGGAAGAGACUCCCCGCGGGAGGAGGGAGAAUGGAGGACACUCCAGGCCGGGCCCCGGGUCUGUGUUCUUUCCACUUGACAGAAGAGGACAGAGGGACCAUGGAAGAUGCAGGUCUUCAAGUCCCUUCGACUAAGAAUGGGAAAGGCAGGGAGCCAGUCCCCAGGAGGGGGCUGACUUCAAGCCGCUCUAAAUGGCAAACCCCCUUUAGGUCGUGUGCUCGUGGACACUCAGUGAGCCGCAGCCAUCCCUCCCCAUUCUGCUGACAGUGUCCCCACCUCCCAGGUACCGAAGGCUCUUCUGGGGCCUCCCUUCACUGUGGGGGAAAUCAGACGUUUUCUCCACACCACAGAAGGGAAAGAGACACUGGAAGGGUUUGGCCAUUUCCUUCUGCGGCUCAUUUUACAGAUGAGGAAACAGAGGCAGACGGGGUGAAGUGACUGUCCAGCAUCACACAGCUGGGAAGCGAGGUCGGAUUUAAACUGCAGCCUGGCAUUCUCUCCGCUGCCCAGCCCAGCCGCCCCUUAAGUGCUUCCGGUAACCCAGGCACCCUCCACCCUUGGCCUGGGGACACAAAGGCAAAUGGUCCCCGGCCUCCAAGAGCUUACAUCCAAAUGGGAACUGAGCUUGGUGUCUCGGAGCUGAAACAGGACAGUGUGAGGUAGCCGGCUGUCCGGGCAGCUUCGGGGGAGCUGCUGUGAGGAAAUGACCAGCGGCUGCUUUUGGAGAAGCUGGAGAGACUUACAGGAACCGAUGCCCAGGGCAGUGAGCAGAGCCAGGAGAUCAUGGUACACGGCCACAGCAUUAUGACGACCUGCUGCGAGGGACUCAGCCCUUUUCAACAAUGAGCUGGUUCAAGGCGGUUCCAGUCGACUUGGGAUGGAAAGUACCAUCUGCGGGCAGAGAGGCCCACGGGCACCGCAUGUGGACCAGCAGAGAUUUGCACCCUUCGUUGUUCGCUCGGUUCCCCCCUUUCUCAUGGUUUUUUCCUCCUUUUCUUGUGAAAUAUGUUUAGAAGAAAUGCACAUGUUUAACCUACACUGGAAUCCGAUAUCGCUUGCUGGCUGUCUGGGAGGGAGGGAGCAAACAAACAUAAGGCGUCGCAAGGGUGAACACUGGGAAGUCUUAUCGCCAUUCUGGGGAAAAUGCAAAGCUAUUAAAAGGAGCGGCUCAGUCUGAGGCCGUGAGAGGAUCGCCAGUGGGAGAAAGCCGGAGUUUGCUGAAGCAGCUCCGGGAAAGGGAAGUGGACACUGACUAACUGUUGUGUCCUCUCUCUCUCAUGGCUUUUCCCUUUUGCUGUUUUCUCUCAUGAAGGAAUAUGUAUUAAAAAAUUAAUGUACACGUGUAA